rnacentral:rRNA from 1 species
GCAGUCGAGGGGCAGCGGGGCAGGAAGCUUGCUUUCUGCCGCCGGCGACCGGCGCACGGGUGAGUAACACGUAUGCAACCUGGCCGUGACAGAUGGAUAACCGGGAGAAAUCCCGCCUAAUACAGCAUGACGCCGGGAAGGGACAUCCCUUUCCGGCCAAAGGGGGCGACUCCGGUCACGGAUGGGCAUGCGGCGCAUUAGGUAGUUGGUGGGGCAACGGCCCGCCAAGCCGACGAUGCGUAGGGGUUCUGAGAGGAAGGUCCCCCACAUUGGAACUGAGACACGGUCCAAACUCCUACGGGAGGCAGCAGUGAGGAAUAUUGGUCAAUGGCCGGAAGGCUGAACCAGCCAAGUCGCGUGAGGGAAUAAGGCCCUACGGGUCGUAAACCUCUUUUGUCAGGGAGCAAGGCCGCCCACGUGUGGACGGAAGGAGAGUACCUGGAGAAAAAGCAUCGGCUAACUCCGUGCCAGCAGCCGCGGUAAUACGGAGGAUGCGAGCGUUAUCCGGAUUUAUUGGGUUUAAAGGGUGCGUAGGCGGCCUGCCAAGUCAGCGGUAAAAUUGCGGGGCUCAACCCCGUACAGCCGUUGAAACUGCCGGGCUCGAGUGGGCGAGAAGUAUGCGGAAUGCGUGGUGUAGCGGUGAAAUGCAUAGAUAUCACGCAGAACCCCGAUUGCGAAGGCAGCAUACCGGCGCCCUACUGACGCUGAGGCACGAAAGUGCGGGGAUCAAACAGGAUUAGAUACCCUGGUAGUCCGCACAGUAAACGAUGAAUGCUAGCUGUCCGGGGGGAUUGACCCCUGGGUGGCACAGCGAAAGCGUUAAGCAUUCCACCUGGGGAGUACGCCGGCAACGGUGAAACUCAAAGGAAUUGACGGGGGCCCGCACAAGC